AUGCAAGUCGAGCGGUAACACAGAGAGCUUGCUCUCGGGUGACGAGCGGCGGACGGGUGAGUAAUGUCUGGGAAACUGCCUGAUGGAGGGGGAUAACUACUGGAAACGGUAGCUAAUACCGCAUAACGUCGCAAGACCAAAGAGGGGGACCUUCGGGCCUCUUGCCAUCAGAUGUGCCCAGAUGGGAUUAGCUAGUAGGUGGGGUAACGGCUCACCUAGGCGACGAUCCCUAGCUGGUCUGAGAGGAUGACCAGCCACACUGGAACUGAGACACGGUCCAGACUCCUACGGGAGGCAGCAGUGGGGAAUAUUGCACAAUGGGCGCAAGCCUGAUGCAGCCAUGCCCGCGUGUA
rnacentral:rRNA from 1 species